UGAAGAGAAAAAGAAACAUUUGAAAGCUUUAAAGAUUCGGCACUUUGAAGCUCAAAUUUAGAUCAAGAAAAGAGGAAAUUGUAAUUCGAUCGGAGGAAAUCUAAAGUUGUGGAAUAGUCAUCCCGAUUCGUCCGUUUUUGUCCAAGAUUUUGGAGGUUAGUUACGAGCUCGGGGAUCUUCAGUGGAGUUUAUCACACUAUUGUUUGUUUAUCGGUACUUUAAAAAAAUUAAAUUUCGAAGUUAUGGCAUGUAUAGGCUAUACUACCUUUUGGAUUUAUGUUUGAAUGUAUGGCAUGUAUGGCAUGUAUGGCAUGUAUAGGCUAUGCGAAAAUGGCUUAUUAUUUUGAUAUGUGGAUUAUAAUGUUUAAGUUAUGAUAGUUUAGUAUUGGUAAGUAUGUGUGAAGUUUUUAA